GGCGGACGGGUGAGUAACACUUGGGAAUCUGCCCAGUAGUGGGGGACAACCCGGGGAAACCCGGGCUAAUACCGCAUACGCCCUACGGGGGAAAGGGGGCCUCUUCUUGAAAGCUCUCGCUAUUGGAUGAGCCCAAGUCGGAUUAGCUUGUUGGUGAGGUAAAAGCUCACCAAGGCGACGAUCCGUAGCUGGUCUGAGAGGACGAUCAGCCACACUGGGACUGAGACACGGCCCAGACUCCUACGGGAGGCAGCAGUGGGGAAUAUUGGACAAUGGGCGAAAGCCUGAUCCAGCCAUCCCGCAUGCAGGAAGACGGCCCUAUGGGUUGUAAAGCACUUUCAAUAGAGAGGAAAAGCUGUACGUUAAUAGCGUGCAGCCCUGACGUUACCUAUAGAAGAAGCACCGGCUAACUCCGUGCCAGCAGCGGCGG
rnacentral:rRNA from 1 species